rnacentral:piRNA from 1 species
UGCAACAGAAGUACAGGAAGAUAAUGGG